UCAUUGUGCAAUUAUAUUUUCAUUAUUAGUCCAUUGACAGUUGGUGUUCAGGUGCCUGGCUAUACUCCAGAUAUUCCAGGACAUGCGAGAGGAGGAGUUUGAUGGAUCAAGAAACUGAAGGAGCUAAUCGAUGCUAGGAAGAGGUGACUGCUAGAGCUGUCUGGCCACCAGCUGAAGGAGGACUGAGCCAGAGGGUGCCUCUCUUAUCCCGAGGGCGUGCAUCUUGUCCCAUGGCAUUAGGAAGAUUCUUUGUCAAAGAUUUUCUGCUGUGGAUCAAAGUGAGCAGGGAUCUUUGAGCAGCCUUGCAGCAAGGACAGGCCUUCUGCUGUGGAAAUCUGGCCAGCUUCCCAUARCCAACGCAAGCAGGACACCUAGAGGAAUUCACCUUGGAGUCACACCAGCUCUGCAGGCUAAAGAAUGAGUGAAAUGUCUGCUUACCUAGUUUUUUAAAAAAAAUCUCAUUUGCAUUUAAGCUUCUUUAAUAMCCUGUUAAAUGACAGUCAGUCAAAAAAUGGCAGAGCUAUUGCUUUAAGGAUAGGCUUGCUGCCUGUUCUUGUGCGUGGGCUCGUGUGCACUUUUAGGGGAACCUUUAACAACAGACGUGUAUUUUAAGCCUUACUUUUUUGUACAAGGAGAAUUGACAGAGUCUUUAAUUGCUGAAUUGUUUUUCUAUGGCUACCCUAAAAUACACAGAUCUGGUACUGACUGGAUAUAAAUGGUCUAUUUAUGUAACAAAAAUGCUAGUUUCAUGGGAUAUUUUUACUGUUUGAAUGGCUCAGGGUGUGACAAGGUGCUCUGACGUGUGACACAGAUGAUAUUUACUCUAGCCUUUGCACAACCCCUUUUUGUUAUUUCUUUACCUUGGGAGUUGAGCUAACUUUUGGUAACUUCCAGAAUGUGACUCUCUGCUGCUCUUUCCACAACUCUUUCCGCAAUUGAUUGUAGGUGUAUGAUCUAUUGAUUAUAAUUUGAGGCAUAGAGGGAGUAUAUUCCACCAUCACAGUUUGAGCUCAAUUUCCCGAAAUUGCAGUUAGAGCACAGUUCCUGGGGCAGACUUGGAAAAUCAAAAACCCUGAGCCUGACCAAAACCUGUCACUUGCCAAUAGUGCUGCUGCAUUAAUUGACUUUUAUUGCAAAGACCACACAGGACCACAACCCUUUCCUUUCAAGAUGGUUCCUAGACCUGCUAGGAACGAAUCUGCUCUCCGAUAGGGCUUUUUCUCACCUCUCCAAGCUAGCGGCCAGAAGGACAGGGUCUGUGCCAUUGAAAGAAGGCUGAGAACAUCUCAAGCACGUACAAGCUGGACACUGGUUUGUUCCUGACUGGCAGAAGGAAGAAAAGAAUGCCCUGCUCCAUCUGUUUGGGCUUCCU